GUGAAUCAUCAAAUUUUUGAACGCAAAUUGCACUCUCUUCGGAGAGUAUGCCUGUUUGAGGGUCAGCCUAAAAAAAAUCGACAUAGUUGCUGUUACGCGGUAACACUCGUCGGAAAUUGGGUUAUCUUAAACUUUUGGGUUUAAGCCGCUUAAAAUUUUCUUUACGAGUCUAAGAACGUUACUAAGAUUUUAUUUUCUUUUACGUUUAAGUUAUGGAUCUUUAUUAGACGUAGCCGUUGAAUC
rnacentral:misc_RNA from 1 species